GGGGAUAUAGCUCAGUUGGUAGAGUGCUUGCCUAGCAUGCACAAGGCCCUGGGUUCGAUCCCCAGCACCA
rnacentral:tRNA from 1 species